CGUAGUCUCCUGUCAGCAAGUGUACAUG
rnacentral:piRNA from 1 species